CCUACGGGAGGCAGCAGUGAGGAAUAUUGGUCAAUGGACGAGAGUCUGAACCAGCCAAGUAGCGUGAAGGAUGACUGCCCUAUGGGUUGUAAACUUCUUUUAUAUGGGAAUAAAAUGUUCCACGUGUGGGAUUUUGUAUGUACCAUAUGAAUAAGGAUCGGCUAACUCCGUGCCAGCAGCCGCGGUAAUACGGAGGAUCCGAGCGUUAUCCGGAUUUAUUGGGUUUAAAGGGAGCGUAGGUGGAUUGUUAAGUCAGUUGUGAAAGUUUGCGGCUCAACCGUAAAAUUGCAGUUGAUACUGGCAGUCUUGAGUACAGUUGAGGUGGGCGGAAUUCGUGGUGUAGCGGUGAAAUGCUUAGAUAUCACGAAGAACUCCGAUUGCGAAGGCAGUUCACUGGACUGCAACUGACACUGAGGCUCGAAAGUGUGGGUAUCAAACAGGAUUAGAUACCCGGGUAGUC
rnacentral:rRNA from 1 species